UAAAGGACCUCGUUAUCAAGUCGCUGCUGGAUGAAUCCUGUACUGUUUUUGCCCGUGUAAAUCAUUCACAAAGAUCAUCAGAAACCCCUUUCAAGACCUGGAUCUUAGUUAAACAAGACGGAGAAGUGAUCACAGCGCAUUGUAUCUGUAUGGCUGGGGAAGAAUUUUGUCGCGACCUUCAUGUAUAUGGACUUUGUGAGGAGUAAACAAAGAAACAGCUGGGGACUUUAGCGCUUUGUGACUAAAAAAAAGUACCGUAAAAUAACGACACAUAGCAAGAAAAGUACUUGGAAAACACUAAGGACAUAGCUGAGAGGGAGAUACAAACCUUUCACCAACUGAUCACUGCAAACUCGUGCAUGCUUCGACUCGGCUCCCUUCAAUUUCAGUGAGAGGUUGUACUGAAUGACCAGGUUAUCACAUCAAUGGAUUUUUUCCUCCCUUAUGGAGCAGGCAUAUUCCAGGACGACAAUGUCAGCAUUUAUCAGGCUCAAUUUGUCAAAGGGUGCUUCAAGGUUCAAGAGGAAUCAUUUUCACACACAAAUUGACCAACACACGAUCCUGGCUUUAAUCCCAUUGGAAGUCUUUGGGAUGUGCUAGAGAAGACUUUGCGGAAUGGUUCAACUCUCCCGUUAUUAGUACAAGAUCUCUGUGAAAAAAUUAAUAGAACUCUGGAGGGAAAUAAAUGUUAUUAUAUAA